UUCAAAAAUGGGUAAAUCUUGAAAGGUAGGGACGCAAAGCCAUGGGUCUAAUGCAUUUGCAAUGAUAGCCAGGCAGCAUAA
rfam:Desulfotomaculum reducens MI-1, complete genome.